AACUACCCUGUCGAACUGCCAAAGUUUGAUAGGUACCUGUCGAACUGCAGUUGUUCGAUAGGUACCCCUGUCGAACUGUAGCAGUUCGAUAGGGUG
rnacentral:pre_miRNA from 2 species